UAUCUAUUAAGAGUGUGUGAGGGACAAGCCCUAUGACCACGCAGCAACCUACCAAACGGCAAGGUGCUAAUGCUUGAACGAUAGGUA
rnacentral:ncRNA from 2 species